GGUCGCUCCUGCAUGCAAUUGUUCUUCGGUUCCCAGCCGCGAAAUAAUACAAAAUAAAACAACAGUUUCACAUUAACCUGUGUGUGAGACUCGACCAAAUUCCAGUUGUUGCUAAAAAUGUGACUCUACAAUGCAACCCAAGCAACCGGCAAAACUUCCAAACAUCAAUACCGUUAGGCGUCGUCUUUUCCAAGAUGAAGACAAUAACGAAAAUGAAGAACCCUCAGAAUUAAAUAUCCAAGACGGAAACGCACAAACCGCGCGGUGGAAUUUUGACUUUGCUAACGAAACCCCACUGGAAGGAGACUGGGAAUGGGAAAGGGUGGCAGAGUCUGACUGAUUCAAGAUGUUGCAAGUAAAUAAGACGUAGUGCAAUAGUACAUAGUUUGUAAUAAAAAUAAUUUGCGAUCAACAACAAUCGUCCCAUAGCUGGAGCUAGAUGGUCAGCUGUCUGUUUCGUUGUAUGUAGCAGACAGUGACAGACAACAUGCUCGUCUGUCGCCAACUGUAGACGAUUUUUGUUGAUCGCACCUUAUUAGUCAUAGUGAAAGUAUUGUUAUAUUGUAUUGUUUACAUUCUAUAUUUAUUACAGUUUUUACAUUAAUCUAGUCUUUUUGUGUUAAAAUAAUUGUGUAUUGUAUGUAAAUACUAAUAACGGAACGGCUACAUACCAAAAAAGUGUAACAUAAUUUAGUGCUAGAUUUAUUAUUACGAUGUAUUUUUGUAAAGUACUUUUGAAUAAACUCUCCGUAAGUAAA